GGGCCGGGGCCGCGCAGGAAGCCGGGCGGGCGGCGGGGUCCUGUGGGCCGGGCGGGGCUCGUCGCCCCGGAGCCAGGGACGCUCUGACGAGGACACCGCGCGGCUUCCCGAGGAGCGGCCCCGGCUAGACCGGCCCCGCGCCGCGGACAGACCCCCCGUUCCUCCCGGCAGCCCCCCACCCCCGGCCCGGGGUUUCAGGCGCCCCAGGCUGCCGUUAGGCCAGGGAAUCGCGUAACGAGUCCCCCAGCAAGGGCAGAAAAGGCCGGCAGCGGGGGCUUCCUGCCUGCGCGGGCAGCAACAGGGAGACAAAGGAAACUCCCGGGGCUUCUCUCCUGGAGGGCCAGGGAGAGCUCACUGGACCCCACGCAGGGGGAAGGAAACUGGGACCGCGUCCUCAGUAGAAUAGGAACAAAGGGGAGGGAACACAAACCACCCUAGCGAACGAACAGGGCAAUGCUGCUCCGACCCAUCUCAGUUACUUUGCACCAAAUAUCAAGAGUUGAGACGCUAAUGCAGAGAGGAUGGAGGAUGGCUUUAAAAAGCCCACUCCUAAGCGACCAGAGGAGCUAGCAAACAGGAGCAGCUAACAGGAGUUUCAUGAGGGAGUUCUCCAGGUAAAGGAGGACACUUGGGGUCUAACAGGAAAUCUAGGAUAGCCGAGAUAAGGAGAUGGAUACAAGCUGCUAGAGCUGACACGAAAAACUGAAUCUCUUCCACUUCUGCAAGCAAGUGAUUUGGGUUGACUUCUUUCUACUGUUCAGUAACACUUGUACUUCCACAGAACAGGUAGGCUCUAACCCCACAAAUCAUCAAGGAACCAUGCCCUGAGGCAGAGGACCCCUAGCUUGGAUUGGUGUAAAUGACCUACAUCUUGGGAGUAGAGACAGUAAAUGAUUGGAAGUUUGAUUGCCAGGUAGAUGGACAGAUGAAGCAGGCAAGGAUACUAAGCCUGUCUCAGUCAAGUCAGGACUAUAAAGGAUUACCCUGGCCUUAUCUUAUCGUGUUCAUCACUCUCAGUAUUAGGGGGAAUGCAUAGAAUGGAUCCUUCAUCUGAGAUAGUAGAAAGGCAUCUCCCAGAGACUGAUGGCGUAGAUCUCCUCUUGAGCAGAGCAGAUGACAGUUCUUGUUCCUGAAGAUAGCAAAGAGAUCCACCUCUGGAAAUCCCCAAAUUUGGAAUAUACCAUGGAUUUGAGAGGCCAAUUCCCAUUCGUAGGCUUACUGAGAGCAUUGUCUGAGGUGUCCUGGGUGAUAUGGAGGUAGGCAGCUCAAAUAUGGACGUGAUGGGUUAUACACCAGCUCCACAGCUUUAUUGCUUUGGCACAGGGAGGGGGAUCUUGCUCCUCCUUGCUUGUUGAUAUAGAACAUGCAGGCUACAUUGUCUGUCAUGAUCCUGAUUGAUUUGCCCCGAUGAGGAGGAGAAAAUGAAGGCAGGCAUUCCUGACUGCCCUGAGUUCCAAGAGGUUGAUGUGGAGAUUGGUUUCCUGAGGCAACCAUUUGCCCUGAGCAAGUACUGAGGUGAGCGCCCCAUCCCAACAGGAAUGCAUCCGUUGUCACAGUGAUUGUUGGAUUUGGAUGAAGAAAUGCCUGCACCAAUGGUGAGUUGAUCUUUUCACCAGUCUAUAGAGUCCUUUAUGUGAAGAGGAAUCAAGACUUGUUUGUCUAUGCUGUUUCCGAUCAGUGAAUAGAUCUUUCUGAGCCAAAUUGUCGUCUGUACACAGCCCAGGGAUCUCAGUAUAGCCAUUGCAGGGGCCAAUAUGGGAGAGUGUGGCAUCUAGGAUUGGUCCCACCCAUGGUGACGACCACAAGAGUCUUCUCUGUGGCUGUCAAAGAGUGGGUUCUUCUAUGGAUGGAUAGGGGAACCCUGUACAAGAUGGACAAGACUGAAAGAAGGUCUCCCUCCUCCUCAGUAUCCCCUAAUGGGGGGCACCAGCAGAAAAUGACAUUGAAUCAGGAGGUACUGAAGAGUGAUGGUACCUCAGGGACCCAUGUCACAAUACCAAGAGGCAUUCCAUACCCCCAAGCAGUGGAGAUUCCGGUUCAUCUGCCACUGAUAAGUCUUUUGAGUACCUACAUUACUGUGGAAUCGUAUGGAGGACUGGUACUUACGUAGUGGCAUGCUUGGUUAUCAAAGCAGACAGCACUGUAGAUUUGGUUUGCACAGUACUGAGGCCCCAACUGGAGAGGUACCAAUGACAGAGCUGAGUUCAGUGGUACCAAUCUGGAAGAGUUCUUACCCCUACUUUCCUUGUCGCAUGUAGACAGCAUUGACACCUUGGUCAGAGCCAUGUUUGUUCUUAGAGUUCUUCCAGCACACUGGUUCCGGAGGAGUCUUUCAUGUCUAUAAUACCAAGCUGAGAAGCUGAGGCUUCUGAGACCAUUGAUUUAGCAGGGAACCAAGGUCUUUUGGAAGUAGGUUCCUUAUGAUGGGAGCCACCAUUGUUGAGGUCUCUAAAGUCUUCCCCUUCCUAGGGGAGACCUUAGCCAAGAUCAAAGGGGCUCUAGAUUUCCCUGGAGAAAGAUGUCCGGGCAUGGGAGGGUGUCUCCUGACCUGACUCUGAAGCAGGACAAAGGGAAUGCUCUAUCUGCAGCAGCCUCAACUUGAUCUCCUGGUUCUUUCUUCCUCUGGAUUUGAGGGCCAGGCAGAAGUUAUGCUACUGGGAAAUGUGAGACUCUCCCAGGCAGCAGACACACAGUGUCCGGUGCAUACUAGGAUAGCCUCCCAGCAAGAGAAGCAGCAUUUGAAACUUGGCAGAGCCAGGCAUGCCCUGCGGGAGGUAAGGCUCCCCAAAUAGAGAGAGAAGAACAAAGUAAAUCCUCUCACUUAUCCGCUAAUUACAAGCUAAUACUAAACUAACAAAAAAAGAAUAGCCAAGAUAUGCUCAAGGCACACAUGCUAAGGCUCCACCUCAGGCUGAGACAGUUGAGAAGGAACUGAGGGCAGUUUGCCCAUGCAGCCCUGUAUAGUCUUGGUGCACGGGCCAAAUGGACACUACUAAUGAAAAAUCUCUGAUCAAGAGCUCAAGAGGUGCAUGCGCACCUGAAGUAGAGCACCCACAGUGAUGCUACUCAAAGAACAACAAUUAACAUACAGGUUCCUUAUUGUACUAACCAACCUUUUGGAACUCGUGUCCUCCAUCAACCUGCACAACCCUUUGAAACACUUCAAGUGGCCAGAGAGGUGACAACUUAGUGGCUAAAGGCAUCCUCUCGUCAGUUCUAGGGAUGCUUCAUGCUUCCGUACCUUGCACGGUACACAACACACCAUUUUAAGAUCAUCAGAAUGGUUUCUCAUCAGGGGCAUUCAUGAAAGAGUACACCAUUUCCCCAGCUCUCUUUGUGCUCCAUUCUUUUCAGAGAGCAGGGAACUGAAGUAUGUAAUCCUAGCAACCUUAGUCAUAAUGGAACAGUCCAUUGUUGGGCAAUUCCACUGCAUGCAGAAACUUCUCAAAAUUAUGGGGCUAGGAAUAUUCAGCCAAUUGAUGGCAUUUGAUUUGGGGUAAUUGACUGGUCUGUGUUUUUCAUUGGUUUUAAUUUUUACAAGAAUGCCAAGAGCACCUGGAGCUUUGAAUGGGAGCAUUUACUAAAAUACAUAAAAACCCAACUAAAUAAAUGACUGGAUGAAGAAAUCUGUAGGGGUUAUUCUUCUCCCCUCAUUGUACACCAACAUUCCUUGCACCUGCCAUUUUUGUUUUUUUUAAACAGAGUCCUCCACACAUAUCACACAUUGCUUUAGGAAAAAUCACAGGACUAAACUGAACAAGAUAAGCAAGGCAAGACAGAGAGGAAGUGACUCAGAAGCUCUAAAGGGUUACAGUUACUCUUUCAUGAGCUACUCCAUCUACCUCCUGCAGAGUAGCAGGGAAUGGGAGUGGAGCAGGCAGGCAGAAGAGUACUAUGUACAGGUCAGAGAGAAGAGCUGAAUGAGGAUAUAGGGGGGCUGUAAAAGCAGGGGAGCACAUUUGAAUGGAGAGAGAGAAGAAGCUAGAUGGGGCCAAUAUGGCCUGGCUUCCCUAAAAGUAAGUGUCUGUCACUGCAGCAUUCUGGAGCUCCAGGUUCCUAACGAGUAGUCCAUGGAUUACCGGUAGCCCAGAGAGCUGUCUGGUUGCAUUGUGCUGGCUCUCAUCUAUUUCCAGCUUCUCUUGUAUAAUGUCUUAAGAACAUAAGAACAGCCAUACUGGGUCAGACCAAUGGUCCAUCUAACCCAGUAUC